GAAAUGCGAUAAGUAAUGUGAAUUGCAGAAUUCCGUGAAUCAUCGAAUCUUUGAACGCACAUUGCGCCCUCUGGCAUUCCAUGGGGCAUGCCUGUUCGAGCGUCAUUUGUACCCUCAAGCUCUGCUUGGUGUUGGGUGUUUGUCCCGUCUCCGCGCGUGGACUCGCCCCAAAGUGAUUGGCAGCCGGCGUACUGGUCCCGGAGCGCAGCACAUGUCGCGCAAACGAGUGCCUUGGUACGGCGGCGUCCAUAAGCCCCUCUCUCACGCUCUUGACCUCGGAUCAGGUAGGGAUACCCGCUGAACUUAAGC
rnacentral:misc_RNA from 1 species